rnacentral:rRNA from 1 species
ACUUUCAACAACGGAUCUCUUGGUUCUGGCAUCGAUGAAGAACGCAGCGAAAUGCGAUAAGUAGUGUGAAUUGCAGAAUUCAGUGAAUCAUCGAAUCUUUGAACGCACAUUGCGCCCCUUGGUAUUCCAUGGGGCAUGCUUGUUCGAGCGUCAUUU